rnacentral:rRNA from 1 species
UACGAAGGGGGCUAGCGUUGUUCGGAAUUACUGGGCGUAAAGCGCACGUAGGCGGAUAUUUAAGUCAGGGGUUAAAUCCUGGAGCUCAACUCCAGAACUGCCUUUGAUACUGGGGAUCUCGAGUCCGGGAGAGGUGAGUGGAACUGCGAGUGUAGAGGUGAAAUUCGUAGAUAUUCGCAAGAACACCAGUGGCGAAGGCGGCUCACUGGCCCGGUACUGACGCUGAGGUGCGAAAGCGUGGGGAGCGAACAGG